CUCGACCGUAGCUGCUACCUUGACGCGGUGGUCGGGCUUGCCUAUCGUGAUGACCCAGCUGAGCUAUAUUGGCUGGAACAUAUGUUCCUAUAAGUUCUACCAUGCCAGGCAGGUCGAUUGGAAAACGGUAAGACUAACAGCAGC
rnacentral:ribozyme from 1 species